GCCGGGUGUGGUGGCCCACGCCUGUAAUCCCAGCACUUUGGGAGGCUGAGGUGGGCAGAUCACUUGUGGUCAGGAGUUCAACAACAGCCUGGCCAACAUGGUGAAACCCCAUCUCUA
ensembl:misc_RNA Metazoa_SRP Metazoan signal recognition particle RNA